CUUAUAUUGAAACCUAGUGAUGUAUGAGUUAGUGGCGGACGGGUGAGUAACGCGUGGAGAACCUGCCGUAUACUGGGGGAUAGCACUUAGAAAUAGGUGCUAAUACCGCAUAAGCGCACAGCUUCGCAUGAGGCAGUGUGAAAAACUCCGGUGGUAUACGAUGGAUCCGCGUCUGGUUAGCUAGUUGGCGGGGUAAAGGCCCACCAAGGCGACGAUCAGUAGCCGGCCUGAGAGGGUGAACGGCCACAUUGGGACUGAGACACGGCCCAAACUCCUACGGGAGGCAGCAGUGGGGAAUAUUGCACAAUGGGGGAAACCCUGAUGCAGCGACGCCGCGUGAGUGAAGAAGUAUUUCGGUAUGUAAAGCUCUAUCAGCAGGGAAGAAAAUGACGGUACCUGACUAAGAAGCCCCGGCUAACUACGUGCCAGCAGCCGCGGUAAUACGUAGGGGGCAAGCGUUAUCCGGAUUUACUGGGUGUAAAGGGAGCGUAGACGGCAGCGCAAGUCUGGAGUGAAAUCCCAUGGCUUAACCAUGGAACUGCUUUGGAAACUGUGCAGCUAGAGUGCAGGAGAGGUAAGCGGAAUUCCUAGUGUAGCGGUGAAAUGCGUAGAUAUUAGGAGGAACACCAGUGGCGAAGGCGGCUUACUGGACUGUAACUGACGUUGAGGCUCGAAAGCGUGGGGAGCAAACAGGAUUAGAUACCCUGGUAGUCCACGCUGUAAACG
rnacentral:rRNA from 1 species